ensembl:lncRNA
GACUAUAUACAGGGAUUAUUUUAUUAAGUGAAUAAGCAUCUUCAAAGGAUUUAUUCAUCAAGUAUGAUCCAUUUAUUUCCAAUGGAUCCACGGGUUCAGGUCAAUUACAAUAACAAUGUUCAUAGGACAAAAUACAAACCUGGGUCCACUGCAUUCUGAAUCAGAUUCACAUCAGAAAAACAAAGUGCAUUUUACAGUAAUAUGGCAGCUUUCAAGCAACUCCAAAAGAAAACCAAAACAAUGGAUAAAAUCACAAAGCAAUACAGCAUUUAUUUUAUUUCAGAAACGUUUAAUACUGUGAUCACUUCAAAUGUAUUUUCUUUUAAUACCUUCACACUUUACAAAAAGGACAUGAAAGCGAGAUGUAAACAGUAUUUCAAUUUGAUCAGUUUUAAUCCAAAUUUGAAAUGGUGUAUCUUUACCCUUCACUUGUCCCUUCUGCAGAAUGAUCAGUCAAGCGCACACACAUAGUGCUUGGCCCCAGUCUUAAAUUCCCUUCUUCCUAAUCUACAACAAACCACAACCAGGCAUAAAAAUAAACACACCAAAAAUAUUUUGGGAACAUUUUAAAACUUUACAAUACAUAGGAUGAGUACAUAUUCCACAUCCUGUAUAUAGGCAACAAUUUCUACAAACAGAGAAAAAAAAUCCACUGUGCAAACAUUAAUGAAAAAUAACGAUUGCACAUAUGUUACAAAAUGGAAUAGUUGUGGAACAUCUGAACCCAAUUGGUCUGAGUGGUACAGAUAAGCAGCACAGUUAGAGGGCGAGUCUGUGCUGGAACAUCCACAGGUUUACAUCAAUUAUCCUUCAACUUUAUGAACAAUACUGCGUCGCCGCAGUGCUGCUGAUCUUACAGUAAUCACUGGUUUCAUCACCCCAAAGUGUCAUUCCCUGGUAUACUGGUUGUACUGGGACCUGUCAACUGAAAGUUGACAGGUCAUUUUUGCAGACAUGGGAGGUAAUUGGGAACCUACCGCCGGUUAAAAAGGGCAAUCUCGUCUCAACUCCAAGCGAAUUGGGAACAUUGACAUGAAUUGUCUAUUUUUGCAGUUUUCAGGUCUAAGGUUGUCCAAUGAAAUGUUUAUUUCUUGAUGUCUGCACUUACUAAUCCAGACAGGCCGAACACACGGACUAGACAGACACAAGAUUCCUACAACAGAACCAACACCUCAACACAUUUCUGUUUGAGGAGAUUUGUCUCUCUCUCUCCCUCCAACGUUUGAAUCUAUCUCCAUCUCUCAGCCAGAUGGCGGCAGCACAGGACGAUUGUAGUCAUCUCCUGAUUCAUUCAUGUUUGUUGUUUGACAAUCAGUCAGGGUGAUAUCGCCAUGCUUUUUCUUUAAUCCCUGAAAUGUUGAUAUGCUAAUUUUGGAGUAUGCCAUCAAAUAAGAGAAUAGUGGUCUAUUUUUGGGGGAAUCUCCACAAACAAUAAAAUAGUUUGAUAACAAAUGGCUUUCAUAUCCCGACAAUGGCAUCAUACGUAAAGUGCGGUUACAAUUGACAGGAUAAAUGAAUACAUGAGAGCCUGUUGAAC